rnacentral:rRNA from 1 species
GACGAACGCUGGCGGCGCGCUUAACACAUGCAAGUCGAACGGAAAGGCCCUGCUUUUGUGGGGUGCUCGAGUGGCGAACGGGUGAGUAACACGUGAGUAACCUGCCCUUGACUUUGGGAUAACUUCAGGAAACUGGGGCUAAUACCGGAUAGGAGCUCCUGCUGCAUGGUGGGGGUUGGAAAGUUUCGGCGGUUGGGGAUGGACUCGCGGCUUAUCAGCUUGUUGGUGGGGUAGUGGCUUACCAAGGCUUUGACGGGUAGCCGGCCUGAGAGGGUGACCGGCCACAUUGGGACUGAGAUACGGCCCAGACUCCUACGGGGGGCAGCAGUGGGGAAUAUUGCACAAUGGGCGGAAGCCUGAUGCAGCAACGCCGCGUGCGGGAUGACGGCCUUCGGGUUGUAAACCGCUUUCGCCUGUGACGAAGCGUGAGUGACGGUAAUGGGUAAAGAAGCACCGGCUAACUACGUG